UGCUCUUUGAACGUCUCAAUUUGCCAGUCCCCACUCCCACUUUGCCCCAUCUUGCUCCAAGGCUGGCAAACUUUGCUGGAGAAAACCACAAAAGUACUGAUGGAGCUGUCUGCCACUUGUGUCUGUCUUGGCCUGGACCUCAGUGGCAUUAGUCAUCUGUAUGAGAUGCAUUUCUCAGAAUGUACACCCGUCAUCAAGCAACCACGACUGUACUGAUGCUGACUGUGGGUCCAGGUGGUGACAGGCUGAACCCACCAACAUCAUCUUAUGUGCAGCUAUGCCUUUCUCCUCUUGUCCCCAGUUCUUCAGGACCUUUUGUCGGCCAUUCCUCAAGACAUCCACCCUGGCUCUCCUUCAGAAGACUGGCUCUGGCUCUGACAUCUGCCUCAGAAAAUGUUUGCUGACCCCUGACCUAGAAGCUGUGAGGGCUGGUGGAGGAAAUCUUGUGAAGGAGUGAAGAACAAUUCCUGGAGUGACCCUGACACCAGUGGGAAGCAAACAGGAAGAAGCAAAUCCCUUCUUCCUCCUCCAGCCUCCAGUGUCCCUCCAGCAUCCUCAGGGCCUCCUAGAGCCUAACAGGGAGCAGCUGCAGAGUGGAAAUAUGUGGUGUUCAGAGUCUUAGCUCCAACACCACAUAGUAGGGGUUACCAGGCUGAGCUGCAGUUGCUUAAUCAGCAGCACACGUCCCAGUUAUUCACAGGAGAAGAGAGUCUUCAUAACUGUGAUGCUAAAGCAUGCCAGGAGGAUAUUAUCACCCACUCACCACUAAGAACCAGCUCCUUGUUGCCACCUGAGCAGGAAAUGAUCCAAGACUGAGGAUCUGCUGCCUGGACCCCUUCUAAUACCAACUGUCUUAGUGUGGGUUCCCAGAAGCCAACCCUGAGGCAAGGAUUUGAGUGAAGUGGUUUAUUUGGGAGGUAGAGGGACAAAUAAAGCAUGUGUUGCCAGCCAGCUACCACCAUGGGUGACUGCAGGGAAGCUCUCACCUCCAGCACAGCAGCAAGUACCUCACAGGCUUUCGAGCUUGGUGAGGUAGUCCCAGGCAGAUCGCAGGGAGACAG
rnacentral:lncRNA from 1 species